UACGUAGGGGGCAAGCGUUAUCCGGAAUUACUGGGUGUAAAGGGUGAGUAGGCGGCAUGGUAAGCCAGAUGUGAAAGCCUUGGGCUUAACCCGAGGAUUGCAUUUGGAACUAUCAAGCUAGAGUACAGGAGAGGAAAGCGGAAUUCCUAGUGUAGCGGUGAAAUGCGUAGAUAUUAGGAAGAACACCAGUGGCGAAGGCGGCUUUCUGGACUGAAACUGACGCUGAGGCACGAAAGCGUGGGGAGCAAACAGG
rnacentral:rRNA from 1 species